AAACCCUCACCCUUUGCGAUGUCAAAGUCGCCCUGCGGUGGAUUUGGACCGUGCCGUAAUUGGCUCGUCCUGAAAUGCAUUAGCUUGUGCUCGUUAGAGUGCUCGGCAUGGUGUGAUAAUUAUCUGCGCCGUCGCCUUAGGCCUCUUCUGUGUGCGCUGCUUCCAAUCGUCCGCCCGUCGGACAACCAUUUUAAAG
rnacentral:misc_RNA from 1 species